rnacentral:rRNA from 1 species
AUUGAACGCUGGCGGCAUGCUGUACACAUGCAAGUCGAACGGCAGCGCGGGCUUCGGCCUGGCCGUGUGUGGCGAACGGGUGAGUAAUGCAUCGGAACGGGUCCCGUAUUGGGGGAUAUUCCGGCGAAAGCCGGCUUAAUACCGCAUACGACCUGAGGGUGGAAGCGGGGGACCGAAAGGCCUCGCGCUAUCGGAGCGGCCGAUGUCGGAUUAGCUAGUUGGUGGGGUAAAGGCUUACCAAGGCGACGAUCCGCAGCUGGUCUGAGAGGACGACCAGCCACAGUGGUAGUGAGACGCGGACCAGACUCCUAAGGGAGGCAUCGAUGCGGAAAUUUGGACCAUGGGGGAAACCCUGAGCCAGCAAUGCGGCCAGGGAGAAGAAGGCCUUCGGGUUGUAAGACGUGUUUGUUCGGGAAGAAAUCCUCUGGCCUAAUACCCCGGGAGGAUGACGGUACCGGAAGAGUAAGCACCGGCUAACUACGUG